rnacentral:tRNA from 1 species
GGGGGUACAGCUCAGUGGAAGAGCGUAUGCUUAGCAUGUAUGAAGUCCCAGGUUCAAUUCUUAGUAUCUCUA